CAAGGUUAAAACUCAAAUGAAUUGACGGGGGCCCGCACAAGCGGUGGAGCAUGUGGUUUAAUUCGAUGCAACGCGAAGAACCUUACCUGGCCUUGACAUCCACGGAAUUCGGCAGAGAUGCCUUAGUGCCUUCGGGAACCGUGAGACAGGUGCUGCAUGGCUGUCGUCAGCUCGUGUUGUGAAAUGUUGGGUUAAGUCCCGCAACGAGCGCAACCCUUAUCCUUUGUUGCCAGCGAUUCGGUCGGGAACUCAAAGGAGACUGCCGGUGAUAAACCGGAGGAAGGUGGGGAUGACGUCAAGUCAUCAUGGCCCUUACGGCCAGGGCUACACACGUGCUACAAUGGCGCAUACAAAGAGAAGCGAACUCGCGAGAGCAAGCGGACCUCAUAAAGUGCGUCGUAGUCCGGAUCGGAGUCUGCAACUCGACUCCGUGAAGUCGGAAUCGCUAGUAAUCGUGGAUCAGAAUGCCACGGUGAAUACGUUCCCGGGCCUUGUACACACCGCCCGUCACACCAUGGGAGUGGGUUGCAAAAGAAGUAGGUAGCUUA
rnacentral:rRNA from 1 species